AUUGAACGCUGGCGGCAGGCUUAACACAUGCAAGUCGAGCGGAGAUGAGGUGCUUGCACCUUAUCUUAGCGGCGGACGGGUGAGUAAUGCUUAGGAAUCUGCCUAUUAGUGGGGGACAACAUUCCGAAAGGAAUGCUAAUACCGCAUACGUCCUACGAGAGAAAGCAGGGGAUCUUCGGACCUUGCGCUAAUAGAUGAGCCUAAGUCGGAUCAGCUAGUUGGUGGGGUAAAGGCCUACCAAGGCGACGAUCUGUAGCGGGUCUGAGAGGAUGAUCCGCCACACUGGGACUGAGACACGGCCCAGACUCCUACGGGAGGCAGCAGUGGGGAAUAUUAGACAAUGGGGGGAACCCUGAUCCAGCCAUGCCGCGUGUGUGAAGAAGGCCUUAUGGUUGUAAAGCACUUUAAGCGAGGAGGAGGCUACUGAGACUAAUACUCUUGGAUAGUGGACGUUACUCGCAGAAUAAGCACCGGCUAACUCUGUGCCAGCCGCCGCCGUAACAC
rnacentral:rRNA from 1 species